AACGAACGCUGGCGGCAUGCCUAACACAUACAAGUCGAACGAGACCUUCGGGUCUAGUGGCGCACGGGUGCGUAACGCGUGGGAAUCUACCCUUGGGUUCGGAAUAACAGUUAGAAAUGACUGCUAAUACCGGAUGAUGACGUAAGUCCAAAGAUUUAUCGCCCAAGGAUGAGCCCGCGUAAGAUUAGCUUGUUGGUGGGGUAAUGGCCUACCAAGGCGACGAUCUUUAGCUGGUCUGAGAGGAUGAUCAGCCACACUGGGACUGAGACACGGCCCAGACUCCUGCGGGAGGCAGCAGUGGGGAAUAUUGGACAAUGGGCGAAAGCCUGAUCCAGCAAUGCCGCGUGAUCGAUGAAGGCCUUAGGGUUGUAAAGAUCUUUCAGGUGGGAAGAUAGUGACUGUACCACCAGAAGAAGCCCCGGCUAACUCCGUGCCAGCCGCCGCAGUAA
rnacentral:rRNA from 1 species